rnacentral:tRNA from 1 species
GUGGCCGUGGUGUAGUCUGGCAGCACAAAGGACUGUGGAUCCUUUAGCCCGGGUUCAAAUCCCGGCGGUCACC